CGGCGGACGGGUGAGUAACGCGUGGGUAACCUGCCUUACACAGGGGGAUAACAGUUAGAAAUGACUGCUAAUACCGCAUAACCCGCUAGGGCCACAUGGCCCGGACGGAAAAGAUUUUAUCGGUGUAAGAUGGACCCGCGUCUGAUUAGCUAGUUGGUGAGGUAACGGCUCACCAAGGCGACGAUCAGUAGCCGACCUGAGAGGGUGAUCGGCCACAUUGGGACUGAGACACGGCCCAAACUCCUACGGAAGGCAGCAG
rnacentral:rRNA from 1 species